CCUACGGGUGGCAGCAGUGGGGAAUAUUGCACAAUGGGGGAAACCCUGAUGCAGCGACGCCGCGUGAGUGAAGAAGUAUCUCGGUACGUAAAGCUCUAUCAGCAGUGAAGAAAAUGACGGUACCUGACUAAGAAGCCCCGGCUAACUACGUGCCCGCAGCCGCGGUAAUACGUAGGGGGCAAGCGUUAUCCGGAUUUACUGUGUGUAAAGGGAGCGUAGACGGCAGGACAAGUCUGGAGUGAAAUCCCGGGGCUUAACCACGGAACUGCAUUGGAAACUGUGCGGAUGGAGUGCAGGAGGGGUAAGCGGAAUUCCUAGGGUAGCGGUGAAAUGCGUAGAUAUUAGGAGGAACACCGGUGGCGAAGGCGGCUUACUGGACUGUAACUGACGUUGAGGCUCGAAAGCGUGGGGAGCAAACAGGAUUAGAUACCCCUGUAGUC
rnacentral:rRNA from 1 species